GUGAAUCAUCAAAUUUUUGAACGCAAAUUGCACUCUCUUCGGAGAGUAUGCCUGUUUGAGGGUCAGCCUAAAAAAAAUCGACAUUGUUGCUGUUAUUUAAUGGUGACUUUCGUCGGAGAUUGGGUUAUCUUAAACCUUUUUUUUUUUGGUUUAAGGGGCUUAAAAUUUUUUUUUAAGGUUUCAUUAAAGGUUUAAAGGUUUUUUUUUUUUUAUGGGUUUAG
rnacentral:misc_RNA from 1 species